UACAGAGGGGGCAAGCGUUGUUCGGAAUUACUGGGCGUAAAGGGCGCGUAGGCGGCCCUCUAAGUCAGACGUGAAAUCCCCGGGCUCAACCCGGGAACUGCGUCUGAUACUGGAGGGCUUGAAUCCGGGAGAGGGAUGCGGAAUUCCAGGUGUAGCGGUGAAAUGCGUAGAUAUCUGGAGGAACACCGGUGGCGAAGGCGGCAUCCUGGACCGGUAUUGACGCUGAGGCGCGAAAGCCAGGGGAGCAAACGGG
rnacentral:rRNA from 1 species